GAUGAACGCUAGCUACAGGCUUAACACAUGCAAGUCGAGGGGCAGCAUGGUCUUAGCUUGCUAAGGCCGAUGGCGACCGGCGCACGGGUGAGUAACACGUAUCCAACCUGCCGUCUACUCUUGGACAGCCUUCUGAAAGGAAGAUUAAUACAAGAUGGCAUCAUGAGUCCGCAUGUUCACAUGAUUAAAGGUAUUCCGGUAGACGAUGGGGAUGCGUUCCAUUAGAUAGUAGGCGGGGUAACGGCCCACCUAGUCUUCGAUGGAUAGGGGUUCUGAGAGGAAGGUCCCCCACAUUGGAACUGAGACACGGUCCAAACGCCUACGGGAGGCAGCAGUGAGGAAUAUUGGUCAAUGGGCGAGAGCCUGAACCAGCCAAGUAGCGUGAGGGAUGACUGCCCUAUGGGUUGUAAACUUCUUUUAUAAAGGAAUAAAGUCGGGUAUGCAUACCCGUUUGCAUGUACUUUAUGAAUAAGGAUCGGCUAACUCCGUGCCAGCCGCCGCGGUAA
rnacentral:rRNA from 1 species